AUGCAUUGCCCCACGAGGACCAGUCGCCAUGGCCGGAGUUGGCCCGUCCGUGCCCCUAGGCGUGCCCGCGCGCCUCCGCGCCCGCCCGUCUGCGCCUGGCCUCGCCCCCGUGCGUGCUCCCGCGCUCCCCCUGGUCGUCCUACCCGUGCGUGUGGGAGCUCCGGCCGCGCACAACGCGCGCCCGCGGCUGUUGUCCCCGCUCGCUGCUGCCCGCACGCUGCUGCUGCUCUUGCCGCUGCCGCAACGUUGCUGUUGUUCCUUGCUGCCGCAACUGCGUGUGCUGCUCGUUGCCUGCUGCUGCGCUGUGCUGAAGCCGCCCACUGCUGCCGCUGCUAG
rnacentral:rRNA from 1 species